AAGAGUUUCAAAGCUGACGUUUCGAGCGCUAGCCCUUCGCUCCUAUUACCAUUAGUAAUUUUUUUACCCAGAAAUUGUAACGUUUUGUUCUGGAGACAUUAUGUAACUCGAGUGGAAGUUUCCCCUUUUCGAUAGUCUAACGGUGACAAAAUUCCAGGCAUAAGCGUUCUUGAUGUGUUAUUCACAUUACAUUGUGAUUUUCGUUUUUCUCAACAGUCUCCGUUCGCCGGUGAAGACGAAGAAGAUCUAUUUGACUCCAUCUGCCGCGACAGAGUUCAUUAUCCGAAAUGGAUCUCACAACCUGCAGAAGAUUGCUUGAGCCAGCUCUUUGAAAGGACUCCAAUGGAGAGGCUUGGCUACAGAAAUGGAACCAACCCGGCCAUACGAAAUCACAAGUUUUUCGAGCGCAUUGAUUGGGUUAAGCUUGAAGACAGGAGACUAACCCCGCCAUUCAAACCCAAUGUGGGUUCAGACCACGAUACGAAUAAUUUUGAUCCCGAUUUCACUAUGGAAGCACCACGCUUCACUCCAACAGACAAAGAUUUGCUGCAGUCAAUGGACCAGGGACAAUUCCGAGGAUUCUCGUUUGUAAAUCCUUACUUUGGUACACAGCACUAACUCUAAGACUCUAAAGGAACCAUUUCGCCUUGUGUGCGAAAUCAUUACCAACUGUGUUGCUGAAAAUUUGGCUGUGUUUUUCAUCCUUCCGGAGUUAUCCUUGAUCCGCUUAAAAUAGUUCUAGAAAAAAAAAUCCUUAAAAAAUAAGACGCUGGAAAGAAUUUACUACCUUUAGUCAUUGAAAAUAUCCGCCUGCGAAUUAAGUUUCACUUCGUGUUCGAGUGUCACUCGAAAUCUUUAUCUACGAAUCAUCCACUUUGCAGCUCGCUCCUCUUUUGCUUUGAUAUUCUGCAGCUUGAAAAGAAAACCUUAAAAAAAGUACCGGCAGAAAUUUCAUUAAUUUUGAAUCAGAACCAAGUCGUUCCGCCAACCGAAACUACUGCGAGAUUUUCACGCUACAUGGUAAACUUUCCGUGUUCGUCAAUUCGAGUCCGUGUCAAACCUUUUUGGUUUGUGUUAUCGAUUUUUCUAUUUAACUUCUAAACAGAUUAGUAUUUUGUGCUUGCUUUCUUGUCAAGUUUGUAAUCGUUAAUUGUGAUCAGAAGAUCUUGACAAAGCUACUUUUGUGAGUUGUAGAUAUUCAACUAGACUUAGCUGUUCCCGAUGAAGCAAAAGUUUCUGAAAUACGACGUGAAAGUUCCGCGUAUGGAACAUCGUAAACAGAAGCAGGUUCUCGUCAUUGGGGCCUCGGCAUGAGUGUUUCUUCGCUAGCGGGAAAGUAUGAGGCCUUAAGCAACGAGAGGUCUGCAAUAGGUCUGGUAUUGAUAUUGAGGCUCGUUAUCAGUGCCAGUCCCUCAGCAUACCUCUUGUCUCCAAUCUCUUCCCGCGAGCAAAGAAACGCGCGUCCUGCAAUGCUUUGAUGCGUAUGCGCAUUUCAUAGCCUGCUCCCAGGCUAUAAAAAUUCACCAUAGUUGGUAUAUAGUCCUUUAGCGCAGCCUAUGAGUCUUCUCUUUCGUUCGUUAUUUCUACUUUAGAUUCUUAGUAAAGUGAAUUUGUCUCAA